rnacentral:rRNA from 1 species
UAAUCUGCCCUCUUGUUCGGGAUAACUGCUGGAAACGGCAGCUAAUACCGGAUAAGCUCCCCCAAUUGUUUGGUGGAGGAAAGGAGGCCUCUUCAUGAAAGCUUCCGCGAGGGGAUGAGUCCGCGUCCCAUUAGCUAGUUGGUGAGGUAACGGCCCACCAAGGCAACGAUGGGUAGCCGGUCUAAGAGGAUAACCGGCCACACUGGAACUGAAACACGGUCCAGACUCCUACGGGAGGCAGCAGUGGGGAAUAUUGCGCAAUGGACGAAAGUCUGACGCAGCGACCCCGCGUGAGGGAUGAAGGUUUUCGGAUCGUUAAACCUCUGUCAGGAGGGAAGAAAGCGCAUGGCGCCAAUCAGCCAUACGAUUGUCGGUACCUCCAAAAGAAGCGCCGGCUAACUCCGUACCAGCAGCCGCGGUAAUACGGAGGGCGCGAGCGUUAAUCGGAAUUACUGGGUGUAAAGCGCGCGUAGGCUGUUGUGUAAGUUGGGGGUGAAAUCCCGCGGCUCAACCGUGGAACAUCCCUUAAUACUGCGCGACUUGAAUCCGGGAGAGGGUGGCGGAAUUCCAGGUGUAGGAGUGAAAUCCGUAGAUAUGUGGAGGAACAUCAGUGGAGAAGGCGGCCACCUGGACCGGUAUUGACGCUGAGGCGCGAAAGCGUGGGGAGCAAACAGGAUUAGAUACCCUGGUAGUCCACGCUGUAAACGAUGGAUGCUGGAUGUCGGGGAGUAAUCCCCGGUGUCGUAGCCAACGCGAUAAGCAUCCCGCCUGGGGAGUACGGUCGCAAGGCUGAAACUCAGAGAAAUUGACGGGGGCCUGCACAAGCGGUGGAGUAUGUGGUUUAAUUCGAUGCAACGCGAAGAACCUUACCUGGGUUUGACAUCCGGGGGAUCCUCCCGAAAAGGGGGAGUGCCCUUCGGGGAGCCCCGA